rnacentral:rRNA from 1 species
GAUGAACGCUGGCGGCGUGCUUUACACAUGCAAGUCGAACGCUGAAACCCCUUCGGGGGUGGAUGAGUGGCGAACGGGUGAGUAACACGUGGGUGACCUGCCCUCAGCUCUGGGAUAAGCCUGGGAAACCGGGUCUAAUACUGGAUAUGACUCCAUGACGCAUGUUGUGGGGUGGAAAGCCUUGUGCGGCUGAGGAUGGGCCCGCGGCCUAUCAGCUUGUUGGUGGGGUGAUGGCCUACCAAGGCGA